AUACGGAGGGUGCAAGCGUUGUCCGGAUUUAUUGGGUUUAAAGGGUGUGUAGGCGGUGUAUUAAGUCAGUGGUGAAAGCCUGCGGCUCAACCGUAGAACUGCCAUUGAUACUGACACACUUGAGUUUGGUUGAGGUAGGCGGGAUUUAUGGUGUAGCGGUGAAAUGCAUAGAUACCAUAAAGAACACCGAUAGCGAAGGCAGCUUACUAAGCCGAAACUGACGCUGAGGCACGAAAGCGUGGGGAGCGAACAGGAUUAGAUACCCGGGUAGUCC
rnacentral:rRNA from 1 species